GAUCAACGCUGGCGGCGUGCCUAAUGCAUGCAAGUCGAACGGUGCAUCCUUCUGCGUGCUUCAGUGGCAGACGGGUGAGGAACACGUGGGCAAGCUGCCCCGACGUGGUGGGUGGCCGCCGCAAACGGCGGGUAAUUCCGCAUGUACUCAUCGCCCGGUUGAGGCGUUGGUGAAAGGCUCGCGAGAGUCGCCUUUGGAUGCGAGUGCGGCGGCUUAGCUUGUUGGUGGGGUAACCGCGUAGCACGGCGGUGAUGGGUAGCUGGUCUGGGAGGACGGGCAGCGACACGGGGAGUGAGGCACGGCAGCGACUCCGAAGGGAGGGAGGAGAGAGGAAGCUGGCGCAAUGGGCGAAGGGCGGACGGAGCAAGGCCGCGUGGGGGAGGACGGCGGUGGGGAUGGAUACCGCUUUUCGAGGGGACGACGACUGACGGUACCUGAGGAAGAAGGACCGGCUAACUACGUG
rnacentral:rRNA from 1 species